rnacentral:lncRNA from 1 species
UUUUUUUUUUUGUAUUUUUCUAUCUUAAACGCAAUCCCAUUAUCUGCCCAAAGAUAUUUGAAAAAUAAAUGAAUGAAUGGAAUGCCUGUCAUAGUGUCACUGCUGACUCCCAGGAGCUCUGUGCUUUGUCCCAGCUGGGUCUUUCCUCCCUGGUGGUUUUCAAAAACUAUCUCCUAUUGCUAACUUUUCGCUGACCAGGUAAGGAUGGAGUUCUCCCAUCUGCUUGCCUGCACCUCACAAUUUUUAGAGACCUUUCAUAUAUAGUAUGUUCUUUCAUUUCUAUUUAUAACAAGUCAGGCUUCAGUUCGCUAUUUUGAAACCCAUCAAUGCAGGCUAACCUUUCAAAACUGAAUGUAUCUCCCUAUUUUCUAUUAAGUUGAGUGUAGUGUGCCUGGGUGAAGGAGAAGGAUGAUAAAAAAGUUUCACAGAACAAAACAAAUUGAAAGAAACUGCGGCCAUCAUUUCACCGAACUUUCCACUUCCUUGCUGAUGGUCACUGAGCCUUGACAAAGGGGUUUCUAGAGUUGGAAGAAUCACAGGUGCCAAUUGUUUAUGGCAAACAUCUGGCCUCACAGUGGAAAGUCAGUAGAUUCAAAGCGAGGUCUAAACUGAAUGGGGUUUGGGGUUCCCUAAUGGCUCAGCAGGUUGUGGAUCCAAUGCUGUCACUGCUGUGGCUCUGGUUACUAUUGUGGUUCGACCCCUGGCCUGGGAACUUCCACAUGCCCCUGGUGCAGCCAAAAAAACCAAAAGAACAAAUGAAUAGAAAUGAACAGAACAGGGAGUUCCUGUUGUGGCUCAACAGAAACGAAACUGACUAGUAUCCAUGAGGAUGCAGGUUCGAUCUCUGGCUUAGAUCAGUGGGUUAAGGAGCUGUGGUGUUGGUUGAAGAUGUGGCUUGGAUCCCACUUUGCUGUGGCUGUGAUGUAGGCUGGCAGCUGUAGCUCUAUUAAACCUCUAGCCUCGGAACUUCCAUAUGCUGCAGGUAUGGCCCUAAAAAGCAAAUAAAUAAAUAAAUAAACAGAAUAGUGGUACACAAUGUACAGGAAUUUCUGUGUGUUUGACCUAUGCUACUAGGCCAGUGAAACAACAUGCCCCCUGGGGACAGACCAAGUGUAAGGUGGGGCUCUGCCAGAUGACUCCCUGUGGUGCCACCUUGGGCUAAAUUCUCAGCGUCUUGAUUGCUUUAUCCAGGGCAAAGGGAAAAUUAGCUCUCUAGCUCAUAGGUUUUUAGGGGAUUGGAUGUGGUGACAUUUAUUGGUACCAUUUGAUGUCCCCAAAGUGUCAUUGAGUAUUAUUAUUAUGAUCAUUAUUUUUAUAGCUCACUGUAACAUUAACCAUCAAUUUCCAUAGACCCAUUUCUUUCUUGAUUACCAAAAUGUUUAUUGCUUUUGUUGAUACUUUACUUUGCAUUUCUGAAUGGUUUUAGAAUUGAGCGUGAGUCCAGCUAGGUAAUUUGCCAGGUAAGAAGAGUUAUUCUCAGUUGCUAUUCAAUUGUGCUCAGCAGUGGAAGAACUGAUUUCUGGUCUCUAUAAAGUUAAAGGAUAGAUGGGCCUACAUAAUCUUAGUUAGAUAAACCUUUCUCCAAAAUUCAACUUUGAAAUUAGCUGUGUAUAUAUCCAGCCACCUAUGGCCCCUCAGGGUCAUCAAAUAAAGAACAAAAGCAUAGAUAAAGCAGGACCCACUUCCUCCUUUAUUUUGCACUUGGUCUUACUAAAAUAAAAAUAAAACAGGCAUGUGUUCCUCCCUGAAGACUCCAGUCUUUUCUGCCCCCAAGAGAAUUUUCAGAAACUUUACUUGUUAGGUUAAAAUGCUUCAACCUAGGAUAGUAAUUUCCUAGUUUUCUGAUUAAAAGUUAUCUUUCAAAAAAUUCUACCUCCUAGCUAUUUAACCUUCUCACCUGCUAGACUUAGUCUAGCCUUUUUUUUCCUCUUUCUGAGAUGGCAUGGGGACCUGAUAACUCCCCUUUCCUCCUACAGAUCCCUAGUACUUUCUGUUUAAUCUGCAGAUGUGAAGGCACAGAGAGCUGGCUGUACGCAGGGUCCCCUCUGGCCUCUCUCCUCUCCCUCUUCCUAUUUAUCUCAAGCUUCAUCAGUCUUGCUUAAAAAUAAUAGGCUCUGGGAGUUACCUGUGCUGGUUAAAGACCAGUCUUGUCACUGUAGCAACUCAGGUCACUGCUGUGUCAUGGGUUUGAUUCCAGGCCAAAUGCAGUGGCUUAAAGGAUCUGGCAUUACUGCAGCUGUGGGGUGGGUCACAGUUGUGGCUUAGAUUCAGUCUCUGGCCUGGGACCUUCCAUGUGCCACAGAUGUAGCCAAAGUAAUAAUAAGAAUAAAAUAAAAAUAGGAGUUCUCAUUGUGGCUCAGCAGUUAGCGAACCUAACUAGUAUCCAUGACGAUGCGGGUUUGAUCCCUGGCCUUGCUCAGUGGGUUAAGUAUCUGGCGUUGCUGUGAGCUGUGUGUAGGUCACAGACACGGCUUGGUUCCCACGUUUUUGUGGCUGUGAUAUAGGCUGGCAGCUGUAUCUCUGAUUUGACCCCUAGCCUGUUAACCUCCAUAUGCAGCAGGAGUGGCCCUAAAAAGCCAAAAAUAAAUAAAUAAAUAAAUAAAUAAAUAAAAUACCUUUUUAUUUUUAAUGUUAUUAUCUGAAAAAAAUAAAUGUAUGUAAAUUGCCAUUGGUUUCACUGCCUCCCCCUGCUUUUUUUAACUGUAGUCAUGAAAGAUAACUUGAGUUCUAGGAAUUUACUACUGCGCUCUCUCUGGUACUUGUAUUAUUUCUCCCAAGUCACAUUUUCCUGAAAGUUCCAUGAUCAGUCCAUGGACAUCAGGUGUGUGGAGCUUCAAAGUUCCCACCUACUUUGUAAGACACACACACACACACACACACACACUUACACACUUCUGGGGGCUUACAUUGUCUUCCAAAGCUCCUUCUCCUGAGAAGGUCAUGUCUGUAGUCAAACUCUUUGCAAGAUGAACAGUACUGGGCUGGUUUUGAGUCUCAUUCAUUGAACUCCACUCUGCAUCAGUGCUGUGAACCUAAACACUGAGCAUACAAGGACUGAGCACUCAGUCCUCAUGUCAGACAAAACUAACGUUCAGACUUCUGCCUUGAUCCAUCAGUGCUCAGUGGAGACACUAUAAUGGAGCAGGGCCCUGUGGGGCUCCUGGGCUCACAAGCCUUUCUGUGUCCUCCCAUUUGUUGUUUUUAGGGAAUAAGCUUCAGCCUCCAUGACCUUUCCAGAGUUCCAAAGGGCAGGUGCUAAUCAGAGAAGGGAGAGGGAUGCAGAAACAAGGGAGGAGUAGUCAAGAGACAACAGUGCAGCUGUGGGGAAAGUCCUGGUUCCUCCUUGGGGAAUAUAUAUAACAGUACUUUUGAGCCUUUCUGCAGAAUUAAAACCCCCAACAAUUGGAAGAACUACUUACUGAAGAAGGAAGACCACUAGAACCAGUCCUGAAGGUAGUAAACACCAGCUUUGAAAGACAAUGCAAGCUUGCCUCUACCCUGAUCCAUACCUACAGCCCUAUUUUCCACUCCCCAAACUAUAAAACCACCUCCUAAUCUCUCCCAAGGUGGGGCACAGUCUUUAAGGCAUUAGCCUGCUGUGACCUGCUUUGCGUGGUGAAGAAAUAGAGCUAUCUUUCUCCUUCACCCAAAACUCUGUUUCCAUGUUUCUACUUGGCAACAGAGGACAGAGGCCGAGUUUCAGCAACAACACUUGCAGGCUUGCUCUUGUGCCCGAGACACACUCUGGGUCAGCGACACAUUCCCAGCAUGACACUCAUGCUGGGAACCCUGUGUCUGACUUCCCUGAUCUCCAGUCUGCUGCUUACAUCCAGUUAACCACACCUGUUAGACCAUGAGCAGCACCUUCUGGCCCUGGAAUAAACUUGACCUUUUGAGCUCAACCCAUUUAGUAUCAAUCCUUGAUCUCCCUCCAUUACCUUCCCUUAUGAGGCCUGAAUUAGAUCCUUUCCUAGGACCUCACUCCUCAAGGACAUGAGCUUAGGCUCUCACAGUCUUGGAUGGCUCACUUCUGCCUGACACUUAGCUUUGGCACUGCACUUCUUUCUCCUUGGAUGACACCCUUGAUGGCUUGAUGAACAGAGCUACUCCAAGUCUUUCAACACUGUUCAUGAUCUGCUCACUUCAGGGACCAUGGUUCACUUGGAAACUGUGAUGUUUACUUCAUUAAUCAUGUUCUAAUCUUAAAGAAAUCAGUUUGGUUAAAUGACUCUAACAUCAUAGCUACCAACAAGUAGAGAAAUGGGUGACCCCAGUAACGGGUCUUCUUUAACUUAGACAUUUUGCAAUUUUGAGAAACCAACUCAUUGAACAUUUUUGAAUACAGUUUUACAUAUUUAAGUAGAUAAUUCAGGAGAAUUCAGCUCAAGACUUCCACCUCAAAUAAAUGAACCAGAAAUAAAAGUAACACUUUAGAUAUUUGGGGAGAGGUGAGCCUGUGCCCUGGGGUGAGCCAGCUCCUUGUUCUGAGGUAUAGCUGAAGAAACAGAAGUAUGCCCCAUGCCAGAAAUGAAUCAGUGUGAGUUUGAAACCAAGCAGGACCCAGUGGGGCUCCUGGGCAUGGAAGUCUUUCUGUGGCCACUCCCUUACACCGCUACAUUUCUUUCCUGUAGGGAAUAGGCCACAGCCUCCUUGACCUUCCCUUUGAGCUCCAAAGGGCAGGUUCAAACAGGUACUAAUCAGGGAAGGGAGGGGAUGCAGAGACCUGGGAGGAGCAGUCAAGAGACAAUAGUGCAGCCUUGGGGCAGGUCCUGGUUUCCCCUCAGGGGAUACACAUAACAAUACCUUUGACUCUUCUACAAAACUAAAACCCCCACCAAAUGGAAGGUUUUAACUACUUGAUGUAGUAGUCUUCAUCCCAGGAAGAAGGAGGACCACCAGAACCAGUCCUGGGACCACUAAAUACUGGCUUUGAAGAAAAAUGCAAGCUUACACCUACCCUAUCCUUAUCUGUGUCCCUAUUUUCACUCCCAAACUCUAAUCCCACCUCCUACUCUCUCCUGAAGGAGGGCAUCAUCCUGAGGGCAAUAGCCCUCUGUGAACCUCCUUUGCCUGGCAAAGUGAUGAAAGCUACUCAUUUCUACUUAGCCCAAAACUCUGUCUCCAUGUUUCUAUUUGGCUCUGGGGGAUAGACGCUGAGUUUUGGCAGCAAACUCACAGAGAUAAAGCAAGUCAGUCUCAAAUACAGCAUAUUCAUUGAGAUUAUCAUUUUAACUUUGAUGACAGAGUGAUAAUUUGAUUUUAAAACUUCAGGCAGGUUCAAGAUGCAUUUCUACUGUGGUACAACUUCAGGGAAGUUGAGUCAUGAAAACAGCCUGUGGAAGCAAAGAAAGGUCUGAGCUUUAGAAGCUUGAUGCAAUAAAGCAUAAAGUAAGCAGGACAGUGUGUGCUUGUUGACCCUGCCCUCCAUCUGCUCAGGUCACCUGCCUGCUCACCCAGCAAUGCUCUUGUCUGUUCAGCUGGUUCACCUGUGCUCACCUGUGGCUCCCUCACAGUGACCCUUUGUGUUUUUCCAUUUACCAUGCAUGGUCAUCCUCAUGCCAUUUCCAAGGGCUCCUGGAUGUAACUCUGAUCCCCUGGGCUCCUGAUGAUAGAGAUGGAGUAAGAUAGUUAUACAGGUAGUUGUAGAAGUCCUUGUAGGGGACCAUAGAUGGAGAAGGAAACUUAGGAGACUUUGGGAGACCUCUAUAAGAUAAUAACCACUCAAGAAAGCUAUCAGAAUGAAGCAGGCUUGCAUGAGAUUUGCCUCAGUUCCUUGAGUGAAAGAUAAAAUGAGGCCUGUAUUCAAGUUCAGCAAGAUAAUGACCCUUAGGACCAAGGACAGGAAUUUAAGGCAAAGAUGACAUUCCAAAGUAGGAGACCUUCAGAAACCUGAGAUGAUUCAACAUAUUUCAGUGUAUGUCACCACCCUUCUGCUGGUCUAAAUAAGAACCAGGAUACUCCUAGUUUGACUCUCAGGGUCAAAUACUCUCUUACAGGAUAUCAAGGAGGUGCUAGUGAUGUAAGCCUUAUGUCUACUUCACAAUAGAGAAAGAGGCAGUCUUUUUCCACUCCCCACUUUCUUCAAGUUAUAAAAAUGCAGCCCACCUAAUUCUCAAGGCAGAGCCUCCUUGCCUGCCUGCUUGCAUCUCUCACAAGCAUCCUAUCUUAAAAAAUCUAUUUCUUGCCUAUCACUCUGUCUCUCGCUGACUUCCUUCUGUGCUCAGGCACAAAGAACCUGCAUCUCAGUAAGUCCAGACGUGGGUGAAUAAUUCUAAUUUAAAAAUUGUGGGUGCAAGUUCCAAUCUGGGUUCUGGCUGGUUCAAGACAUAAGUAUUGUCAGUUUCACUGGCACUGGACCACACACACAUCUCCUGUGGGAUCUUUCCCACUACCUGACUCCUAGGACCAACUGUGUUCUUCCAGGUCUGGCAAUUUUGUGAAAGAUGUCUUGGUUCCUGCCUCCCCUUCUCUGUUGUAGGUUUUCCACUUGAACAAAGGGCUACACUUUGGUUUUCCAGCCAGACUUCACAGAGUCCUGAAGUUCCAGAUAGGUGACCCCC